UACGUAGGCAGCGAGCGUUGUUCGGAGUUACUGGGCGUAAAGCGUGCGUAGGCGGUUGUCUAAGUUUGGUGUGAAAUCUCCCGGCUUAACUGGGAGGGUGCGCCGAAAACUGGGUGACUGGAGUGUCGGAGAGGUAAGCGGAAUUCCUGGUGUAGCGGUGAAAUGCGUAGAGAUGUGGAGGAACACCAAUGGCGAAGGCAGCCUUCUGGGCCAACACUGACGCUCAUGCACGAAAGCGUGGGGAGCAAACAGG
rnacentral:rRNA from 1 species